ensembl:lncRNA
GGAGGCUUCGUAUGGAGGGUGUGAUGCAAUUGAGGAGUCUCCCCGGAGACAUGCAGAUGGCCAAAUCAGGCUCCGUACCGCAUCUCCGCGCGCCUCUCAAAUGUUGUAACAAUGCGGGGGGCUCCAUAUUAGCUCCACAUUGACAUGAUUGGUUAAUGGUAGGUGGGGGCGUCCUGUAUAAACAUCCUGUACAAAUACACAUGUACUUCUUUGACGAAUACUUCACAAUAGCUCUGCUCCGCUAAGCGCAAGAAGUAUGAGAGCCCUGAAAUCUGCGUAGGCUACAUCGCAGUAAAUAACGUACGGGCACUUCAGACGUCGAUUGAUCAUGCAAAGCCUUUUACGUGGAGAAUUUACGUUGGUGGUUAGGGGAAUUAACGAGAAAAUGUAAGGAUAAUUUAUGUCAAAGCGACUCAAAGUUUUGGAUUGAUAGACGUCGCGGAUUACGCCCACCCAUCCUUCCUGACCAACCUCACUGCUUUAAUUCCUGUAUAACAACAUGACUACACCAUUAAGCGCUCCACAAACGAGAGGGAUUCCGUCUGUGGCCUGUCCCGCGCGCUCAGGAUUACCACGCAUCGUUAAUCAAAGGCAACGCUGCAGGACCGAGUAGGGACUCUGCGCUGCAGAGAAAAGUUCGCCCCAGUGGCAGUUUUCGUGAAGAAGUCCAGCCUACAACAGCCUAUGGAUACACUGGAUUUGACGCCCUUGCGUGACAUGUGAGAUGCAUUUCCAGACUUUGCAUCUUAACUGGAACUUCCAGCGAAUCCCCUCAGUGAGAUAACUAUGGCCCCUGUCCCCAAAAUGAGCAUUGUGUGGUUUGGCCCGCCCCUUGGACCUUGUGGCCUCAUCCAUUCAAGUUGGGGGGGGGAUACCCCACAGUGAUGGAAGGCCCUGGCCACGCCUGGACCACUAAUGAACGGGCAAUUAGAGAGGAGACCUAUUGCUCCUGGUGUAAACAAAGAAAUUAACAUUAAUCAAAGACUAGGACUGGGUGGGGUGUGUGUGUGUGUGCAUGCUCUUGUCGUGUGUGUGGCAGGGGGCUAUGACACAGGCGCUGGUCACAUCAGGGGCCAGCGGUCAGACCGACACGUUGAAUAGCAAUGAGAAGCUUAGGAGAGGCCAGCGCCCAGCUUGAAACCCUUUAAUUGCUAUUAGUGUUUUUGGAAAGAGGGAGAAGAUCAAUAGCUGACCCAGCACGUAACAACAUAGAGUCUGUGUCGACAAUGGGACCCUAUUCCUUAUGUAGUGCAUUACUUUUGACCAGGACCCAAAGGGUAUCCCAUAGGGCUCUGGUUAAAAGUAGUGCACUAUAUAGGUAGUAGGGUGCCAUGUGGGACUUAGACAGACUGGGAGGGGUGAUGACUGGACACGCUAGCAGGUGCAGAGAGACAGAGAACAUGGGCUUUGAACUGCUGCACCGCAGUUUAAAACCAAUCAUCUCAUGGCUUGUACAACGUGCGCAAUAAUCGUUUCAGAACUCACUCAGACGUUUUUAUCUGAGGCCUGAGCGAAUGAGUAGAAAAAAUGUAACAUUUUGGCCCAAAGUUGCUUUUAUGACCGGGAUUGCUGUUAUAUUUCAUGCUCAUUCUUGGUGCGUUCGUGAGGCUCCAUCUGUAUGUAAUGUAGAAAGUGGUGCUAUUAAAAGAUCUCCUAUAGAGAUGAUCAGAGGGGUGGAGGAGGUGGGAGAGAAGGAUGGGGUAGUUUCCCUUCACUGUGUUCUUGGGAUGACCAACAUCAUGAUUGUGGCCUACACACACAUGUGGGCAUACACACCAACACACAUGCGCGUACACACAUACACAUCACCUCUCUUACUUUUGUGUCACAUUGGAGUCGGGUUCAAGUAUGACUGACUAGUUCCUAGAGUUCAGGUUCAGUGAGUUCUCUAUGUGGCGUCUCCGGUUAUAACUCACCAAUAGGUGGCUUUUUAAAAUACCUUCAGACACUGCAAAGAGUAGUGUUUCAAACGAAUGACAAGGUGGACACUUUGAGAAGAAAAAAAAGGGGUGAAAAGGGGAAAAAAGGAGAAAAAAAAUCACACUUUUCAAUCUUACCCUUGCUCCUUCAAACAACGAGCCGAGUAUGAAAAGUCCUCGUCUUUAACUUUAAGACAAGUCUUAGUUAAAUAGGAAUUAUUUCCCCCUGGUGUAGCCUAUACGUCUGACAUUUACACUUUGGGUCAAUGUGUCCCAGAGGGGCAUAAUUCAGUCCACUGUGUGUGCGUGCAUAUGUUUGCCUAUGCGUGCGUGUGUGUCUGUGUGCGCGCUCACUGCCCAUGCCUCCUGUGGCUAGCCCUCAAUAUGAUUUAUGGCUAGCUGACUCACUAACCGCCAGACUCACUGAGGUACUGUGUACUGUGCCGUUUAGCCUAGUGUGGAGUGGAGUCACUGCAUGUGUAAUGUGGACUGUAUGUGUAGUGUGUGUGUGUGUAUGUGUGUGCGUGUUUCUAUGGUGUAUUUGUCAUAUUUUCAUUUGUGAUUAGGGAUAUGUAUUUUGUCUGUAGGUAGUUUUUUAUCUACGGUGUAUUUUAGUAUGUAUCUAGAGUGUUAGUGUGUAUAAAACAUGUAUUAAGGUGUGUCUAGAGUGAAGUAAGCAUAUGUGUAUUUAGUGUGUGUAUAGAGUGUAUUGUGUAUCUAGGGUGUUUUAGUGUAUCUAAUAUGUAUUUCAUGUAUUAAAAGCCUCAGCUAGCUGGCCAGUGUUCAGAGGCUGUUCCACCAGGGAAGGAAAGUGGGCAGUGUGGUUUGAGAGAACUGUCUGCUUUCUAUGAUCUGAACAGCAGGAGAGAGCCAGUGUGGUCACCCAGCCAGCAAAUAAGGUUCCGCGAACCCUAUGUUUCUUAGAGCUUGGUGAGAGCGUGUAUGUGCUAUGGUUAUUUUGCAUACAACCUUCCAUAACGUUCUGGGAAUGGUGCAGGAUAGUUUCUUUGUGUUUGGAACAUUCUCAGCACAUUUUAAGGAACUUGACAAAAUAAUGGUAUUUUCUUGGUACAGUAUUUCAUUACUUUAACCGAGUGUUUCCUAAAAGUUCAAACAUUGUUACAUUUAAUGACAUUUUUGGUCAUAUUCUACGAACGUUCUCCAAGUGGUUUGACACUGGAAUAGUUUAGAGAAUGUUAAGAAACAACAUUUUUCUGUGGGAAUUUCAGUACUUAAGCAUAAUGUUUUCUCAUGGUUCUAUUCAUAUUCUCACUUUCUAUAAAAAAAUACAAGAAAACAGUAGUAAAGUUCAAAGAACACUGUUUAGAAUGAUAUUUAAAAACAUACAUUCCAUCCCAGAGGCCGGUGACGACGCGCAGCUGGAGCCGCGCGUCGGUGGGGAGGGGUACUGACACGACUUCUGCCGAAGUCGAUGCCUCUCCUUGUUCGGGCAGUGCUUGGCGGUCGACGUCACCGGUCUUCUAGCCAUCAUUGAUCCAUUUUUAAUUUUCCAUUGGUUUUGUCUUGUCUUGUCUUCCUACACACCUGGUUCCAAUCCCAUUCAUUAUUAUGUUGUGUAUUUAACCAUCUGUUUCCCCUCAUGUCCUUGUCAGAGAUUGUUUGUUUGUGUAGUUUGUAUUGGUGCGCGUCGGGUCCUCGUACCCACUUUAUUUUGAUUAGGUAUCAUGGUUUUGGAGCUGU